rnacentral:rRNA from 1 species
GCGGAUGGGUGAGUAAGGCGUAGGUAAUCUGCCGCAGGGCCGGGGAUAACAUCGCGAAAGCGGUGCUAAUACCCGAUGAUGCAGCGGCCCCGCAUGGGGACAGUUGUUAAAUCCCGACAGUAGUCGGGAGCCUUGUGAUGAACCUGCGUGCCAUUAGCUAGUUGGUGGGGUAAGGGCCUACCAAGGCGAUGAUGGCUAGGGGGUCUGAGAGGAUGAUCCCCCACACUGGGACUGAGACACGGCCCAGACUCCUACGGGAGGCAGCAGUGAGGAAUCUUGCGCAAUGGGGGCAACCCUGACGCAGCCACGCCGCGUGCUGGAAGACGGCCCUAUGGGUUGUAAACAGCUUUUACUGGGGAAGAACCUGGAGGUUUCGAUCUCCACUGACGGUACCCAGUGAAUAAGCACCGGCUAACUCCGUGCCAGCAGCCGCGGUAAUACGGAGGGUGCAAGCGUUGUCCGGAAUCAUUGGGUGUAAAGGGUGCGCAGGCGGAAGUCUAAGUCGGAGGUGAAAUCUUGCCGCUUAACGGUAAAAGGGCCUUCGAAAC